CUCUCAUAACCCAGAACAGGCCGAUUUCAAUGGCUGGAAUACAUAGACACCUCUUAACUUUUUAGUAAAAAUUGUUUAGACGCCUCAACUAGGACCAUGACCUAUCUACCGCUCGAUUGAAGUUUGCAGCAUAGCAGAGUUGUGGAUUUAGUAUGCAGAUUAGUUAAAACAGGGUAAGAUGGCAAAAUGCUCAAACACUUGAGAAAAGAGGUAUGUGAAGUGUUUCUGUUACAACAGUCAAUAUGUGAAGUCUUUAUUAAAAACGUAUUGCAAUACCACAUGCCCUUGAAAUUAGAUAAGUGUGUUUAACUCAGCUAAAUGUUGGUAGGGAAAUUGGAAUAGAUUUGUCUAAAAUUAAGAGUAACAAAUUGGAUUGGAUCAUUCAUCUCAACUUUCCCUGUGGAAUCAUAGAUUAGUGUGUUUAACUCAACGCAUGAGUUUAUUAGUUAAAAACCAUAGAAUUCUGUAUUAAUUUUGUCCUCAACCUAUGCUUCUUAGUUUACAGUUUCUUUCCUUCUUUAUAAGCUCUCAGUUUUCUUUAAGUAAUUAUUAUGUUCUUAGGUAAGUGGCCUACUGUGAUCGUGCUAGAAAUAAUAAAAUGAGAAUUAUGAAGACAAGUUAAUCAAGUUGUCACUUUUCACUAAGUGUCUUGCUUCAAGAAGGGGAUCUUAUCGCGACGUGUAAGAGUUGUCGCUGUGUGAAAAGGAAAUCAUGUGUUCUAGCCGUGCAAAGUGCAAACAACAUCUUGCAAAAAUGCAAAGUAAGGUUUUGAACAAUAGACCAAAUGUGUUCGGCCCCUCUCUAGACCCCACACAUAGUGGGAGGUUAGUGCACCGGGCUGCCCUUAUUUUUAUAUAUCUUGUUUCAAAAUUUCUUAACUGAUCAUGGGAUGUUUGGAAAUAUAACCUUUCUUUAUUAAUUUAGAUGCUAUGUUCUAGCAUCACUCUGGUGUGUUUGUCUGGCUCUUUCUCUAGGUUGGGCAUAAGUGUGUGUGCUUCUAGCUUGUAAAAUGUAAAAUCAAAAGCUGAUAACAGGAGAAUCUUAGUAGUCCAGUUGAUUGGCUACUUGAAUUUUCACCUUGUUGGUGGGGGUUCGAUUCCCCUCCUUGCAAUAUCUUCCCCCAUUUCCCCUUCCCCUCCUGCUAUGCACAAUGAAAAAAAUGAUAACAAUAACUAUAUAAGAGCUGUAACAUUACCGAGAUAUGGUGUGUUUCUCACGUAGAAAGAUGACCAUUGUGUCGUUUCUUCUUGACUUAUUAGUGAUGAUAUCUUUUUGAUUCCCUCUUCAAUUCAGUUCUAGGAAUUGGGUCUUAUGUGAACAACACAUACUGAAGAAGAUGAGUGAGUCUAAGAAUUGGUUGGUUAGUAGAAAUCAUGAUCUAAGGAAGCAAGGAUCAAAUGAGGGAUUUUUUCAAACAUGUAAACUUGAGAAAUUAGCUGUACUAAAAUUUGUUGCCGCUGGUAUGUUCAACUUGUGUGAUUUCAGAUUCAGCAAUCCAUUUAUGUCAUGUGACUUCAGAUUGAAAUACUAUUGGGAAUUCCCUUUCCAGUAAGUCCAGUAGUACUCUUGUCACCUGACGCGUUUGGGUACAGUAACGUAUAAGGCAUCUGUAUAGGUCCUUUUCGGUUCUUCAAUGUAUUGUCGUUGUUCCUAUCCAUUAUUCUGUUCUCGAUUUCUACCAGUUUGUCAUGGAAUCCCUCAAAUGCAUGUCGUGGUUUACUAUCAGAAGUCCAUUCAGGAGCAUCUCUUUGUCCAAGAUAAAUCUCAUCUGAAGAAUGCAUGGAUAACAUCUCUAUCAAAGAGAUGCCAAGAAGAGUUUGGAACUGGGCUGUGAUGGUCUUUAGGUAGGCUCGCUCAUGGUUUGACUCAAGCUCAACAUACUCAGGAGUGCCUGGCAUUGGCAUAAAGCGCCGGCUUACGGUUGGGCGAUUUGGGAGAUAACCAGCAUAAGGAUAUUGCCCAAAAUUAACUGCUGCAUGAAGAGCAGAAGCCACCCAUAUGAUUAUGGUGCAUGUUUGGACAAGCUCAGCUCUUGUCUGCAUCUGAGGCCACCAUGGUUCAUCUUUCAAGUCACCAUGACCCACGUUGCGAACUUCUGUCCACCAUGAUUGAAGUUCAGGAUCAUCUUGGAUCAUUUCAUCCGCUAUGUAAUAGAAUGAGCAAUACUCUUCCACCCAGGUUUCAAUUGCUGACCAAAUCUCAAGUCCAUCAACGGCGUAAGGAUAAUCCUCUAUCAGAAGUCUAAGGCCAUGAGGCUGGCUUGGGUCUGGUACUGCAACUCCUCUAUAAAUUAAAAAUAAUUGAGAGCAUUACUUGGACAAGAUGGAUAUGACAUUGAAUUUUAAGCUGUAACAACUAGUGACCUACCUCUUAAGUAGAUCUGCAGGGAGUGCCUGCUCAGUGAACACCCAAUUCUUAUAGAUGGAAGAAGACAUUUCCAUGGCAUACUUGGAUGGAAAUACUGUCAACUCAAGUAUUCCACCUGCAUUAAUGAGGAUCUGCCGAGCCAAAGCAUUGAUGUUCAUUGUAUCACGGAAGUGGGGAUGUAGAAGCUUAUAGAUUGGAUGAAGCACACUCAAUUGUCUGUUUGUUGCUAUAAUAAAUGGCUCUAAAGCUGCAUGGGUAUUCAACCUGCAAAGUAUGUAACAAAAUUAAUGUAGUGACUUCAAGAGGUGACCUGCUUCUAUAGUUUCUACCUUUUCAUCUGCUUUGUUAAGUAGCUCACCAGUGACUGACGAGCUGAUGAUACCCAGAAUCAUUUACAGCAACAUAGGCUUUAGCCAGAUGCCAGACAUAGCCUUCAGCACUCUCAUCAUUACAUGGGGUAAAUACUUGACUGCUGGAACCAUGUUUAUCUCCUUGUGGGUGUGGUAAGCUCAGUUCGAUUGCAAGUGGCUUCAAUGUUCCAUCAUCUUGGAGUAAAAGGAGGGUCCGACUAGCAUAGAUCUUAUUGGAUGUUGAGUUAAUCCGAUUAAGAUAAGGCAUAAGCCCGUCAUGAUAAUCUAAGAUGAAUAGCCUGUUAUACUUUAUUGCCUGUGACCACAAAAGAUAAAUGUGUAAAAUAUAUAGAAUCUAAAAUGGAAACAGAUGAAUAGUUUCCAUAUACAAAGGAUGCCUUGGUUUUCUCUUCCUUUCUUUAUGAUAAAUCACCAGAAAAAAGUUGGUCCUCAGAAAAAGAAAAAAAAAACAGAAAAAGAAAUGAAGAAUGAGUAUUACAUCAUCCACAGUUAGUCCAUCCAUGUAUUUCUCAAUCUGCUCUCUUGUGAUUUUACUAGUUUGGUUGCCAUAUACUUCAGGAUUUAGCUUGCUUGUGGGUGGAAAUUCCUGAUAGGCAUUUAGUCUUUUAGUAUCUGCAUUCAAAGAGUACAAAAACACAUAGAAAAGAUAAAAAAAUUCGUAAUUGAUAUUACCUGGAGACGCUGGAUAAUCACAGGAUUGACUCCAGCCAGCAUUUCACGUCCAAACUCUUCAUCUGUCCUCCAUGCAGAGUUAUCUUCUGUAUUUUUUUUUUUUUUGGGAAAGGGUUCACAAUUAAUUUACUUUUUCACCUUAGGAAGUACUCAGAGGCUAAAGUAGUUGUGGAGCCAGAGAAAGAGAACACAUAAGCACCUUUAAUUACAUGAGGAAUUGGAAAUUUAUGAAGUUGUCCUUUAAGCAUCUCCCAUGGCAUGCUUUCCGUGGAGUUAUCAGGAACUCGACCUUUAUAGACUUUUUGUACAUGUUUGAAGCUGUUAAACUCAUUAAAAGGUUUGGCUAACAGAGAUGCAAGCUGUGGAAUUAUGACCCGACCCAUUGAUUUGGCACCAUAUCGAAGGAAAUCCAUAAAUUUCACAUGGUUGAAACGUUCAUCUCGUGGAACAUAAAUGUUCAAACUCAGAAGUGGAAGCCGGCUCUCUAAGCUAGAAUCUGUAACAGCAAACUUAACUCUUUCAACAUGUUCUAUUAGUGGUUCUAAGACAACACCUGGAAAUAUGAUGACAUUAAUAUGUUUGCAGCCUAACCUCUUUUAGUCAGUGGACGGCCCGUUCUUCCCCUUCGGGGGUAUGGAUAAUCCUUUCCCCCACCAAGCACUGGUCGACCAUGUCCUAAAUCAUUGUAGACUGCAUAGUCGUAAACCCUGUCCCAUUCCUCGAGUUUGCCAGAACCUGUACCCUGAAGAUUAAUGAGCUCCUCAUUCCUGUAUGGCCGAAGGGGUUCUGGUGUGUUGCAUGGCAGGUAUGUCUGAUAACACCAAAAAUUAGAGAUUCAGUCUCUAUCAUGAUCCAUAAGUUUGAAUUAAAUCCUGUACGCACGACUUGGUUAAGAUUUAGUAUGUCAGUGUAGGUAUAAUGUGAGAUUAGAGAACUUCAACUAGUUUGGAUUGAGGAAUAGUUGAUUGAUUGAUAUGACAGUCUUAUUUUCAUCUAUAUAAAAACUCUAGGUUUACAUAGCCUUCUAUCCUGUCAUACUUUAGGACUGUCAUCAUAAUCCUGUAAGUCAGGAAGUUCAGAACUAUUUUGAAGAGGAACAUAUCUUAUUUAACUUGAAAAUGUAUUUUUUUUUUUUUUUGUGUAUCUGGGAAUCAUACAGUUAGGUUUAACCUAUCAGUAUGUAUUUUUUGCCUAGAAAAUUGAAGUGCAUCCUCAACCUUAGUGCUUUCUUCUGCAAUUACGUGUAAUAAGCUCUGCCAGUUCCUGUUGAGUGAUUACAAUGUUUUGCAGGCAUCAUAUAGAUUCCUGGAGUAAGGUUAAGAAAUAUGAAUACCUUGUUGCUAAAAAACACCCGAUCGUACUUGUAGCGAUGUGCUGGAUACACCCAAGAAUUGCAGACGAAACGAACUUCACCAUGUCCGGGAAUAUCUUCUAAAGCAACGGUCUUCAGGUAAAACUGGCUAUGAUGAUAGUUCUUUAUAAUGAAAGCACCUGGAACUCCUAUUGACUCAUCCAACUCAAAUGUAAUAUUGAAUGUAGCUUCUUCCACUGAUAUCCAAGUCUUGCUGGAUGUCCAGUCCAAAAUUGCUGGUUUUCCCACCUUCCCUUUUGAUCCAUUUCCUUUAAGAAUGAAAAAAAAAAAUUGUGCUUCAAUGUUACUGUACAGAAUAACAUACAUUCUGCAUUUAUUGCAUUAAGGCUUCCAAAUUAAUCCGAAGUAGUUGAUUUCAAACAUUUAAACGACUGCAGAGAAGGAACUAUCAAGGUUUUCUUAUGGUAUUUUUGCUUCUAAAUGGGAGGAAACCAGGGAAAUAAAACCUUUAGAUUUAUUCUGCUGCUUACUUUCGCAAAAUUUGUUGGUGAAAAUGGAAUAACCAGGCAUUCAGAAUUCAGGUAGUGGAGGUUCAGGAGUUAAAAUUUUGAAACUCCAGAAUAAGAGUUUGUUACUAAAAUGGCGUCGGAGGUUUAAUGAUUUUAACAAUGAACUAUGGAACAAUGUUAUAACCAUUAAAUAUAUGGUAAGAAUGAGGAGAGGUGCACUAACAGUGUAAGAGGUGUGUAUGGUGUAUCUGUUUGGAAGCCUACUAGGAGUCUAUGGGAAGAAUUUUAUGACUGUUUAAGCUGAAAGUUGGCAAUGGAAGAAGAGUGAAGAUGUGGUCAAAUAGGUGGCUAUGACACUUCCUUAAUUGAGCAGUUUCCAGAUCUUUAUGCAAUCAUAUCGAACAAGCACUCUAUGGCUGAUUUCUACUUUUAUUUAAGAAGGAACUUGGAUGACUGGGAGAUUGAUUGCAUAAAUGACUUCAUUCAACAGCUAAAACCUGUCUCUAUUUGAUGAUCAGGUGGCUGAUUCUUUGUUGCGGACGGUUAAGAAAAUGGUAAAUGUACUGUCAAAGUAAUGUUAUAAAAGCCUCUUGAGGAAAAUAGGUGGAAUCCAUGACUGUUGACCGUGGAAGAUAAUCUGGAAAUCUAUUGUCCCCGUAGAGCUGCUUGCUCCACUGCACUGUUACCAAGAAAAUAUGGUCAAUGUUCCGGAGCAUUUUUGGAGUCCAAUUGGUUACGCCAGGAAGAAUAAAACUUGCCUUACACAGCUCGUAUGCACAGCCAUUUGCUAGGGGCAGCAAACACUGCUGCAAUGCAGUUCCUACUUGCAUAUUCUGAAUACUUGACUAGAUAGAAAGCAACAGAUGUUUUAAUGAUAAGAGUGAUAACAUUGCAAAUGUAAUAUCUAGAUGCUGUACGGAUCUUUCUUUGUGGUGUGGGAAGAACAUUGUAUCUGACAUAAUAACUAACAAGUAUAAUAACUAACAAGUUUGUUUGCAUCUCUUUGCUCAGCUCUAGGGAGAAAAUGUAAAUUACCAGGAUCAGCAUGGACAUCACUAAUGAGCUCUAGGAUGACGCGUUUGCCAAAGAGCUCGUGCAUUCGAUCAAGGAAGGCAGAACCAGC
rnacentral:lncRNA from 1 species